AGCAGCCGCGGUAAUUCCAGCUCCAAUAGCGUAUAUUAAAGUUGUUGCAGUUAAAAAGCUCGUAGUUGAAUUUCGGGAUCAAGGGAUCGGUCAUGCCUUGGUAUGUACUGGUUUCAUUGGUUCUCACCUUCUAAAGAACCAUGAUGUCAUUCAUUUGAUGUUAUGGGGAAUUAGGACUGUUACCUUGAAAAAAUUAGAGUGUUUAAAGCAAGCUUACGCUUGAAUACAUUAGCAUGGAAUAAUGAAAUAGGACGUUCGAUCCUAUUUUGUUGGUUUCUAGGAUUGACGUAAUGAUUAAUAGGGAUAGUUGGGGGCAUUAGUAUUCAAUUGUCAGAGGUGAAAUUCUUGGAUUUAUUGAAGACUAACUACUGCGAAAGCAUUUGCCAAGGAUGUUUUCAUUAAUCAAGAACGAAAGUUAGGGGAUCGAAGACGAUCAGAUACCGUCGUAGUCUUAACCAUAAACUAUGCCGACUAGGGAUCGGAUGAUGUUAAUUUUUUAAUGACUCA
rnacentral:rRNA from 1 species